CUCCCAGACUCCUACGGGAGGCAGCAGUGGGGGAUAUUGCACAAUGGGGGGAACCCUGAUGCAGCGACGCCGCGUGGGUGAAGAAGCGCCUCGGCGCGUAAAUCCCUGUCAGCAGGGAAGAAAAUGACGGUACCUGUAGAAUAAGCUCCGGCUAACUACGUGCCAGCAGCCGCGGUAAUACGUAGGGAGCAAGCGUUAUCCGGAUUUAUUGGGUGUAAAGGGUGCGUAGACGGGAAAACAAGUUAGUUGUGAAAUCCCUCAGCUUAACUGAGGAACUGCAACUAAAACUAUUUUUCUUGAGUGCUGGAGAGGAAAGUGGAAUUCCUAGUGUAGCGGUGAAAUGCGUAGAUAUUAGGAGGAACACCAGUGGCGAAGGCGACUUUCUGGACAGUAACUGACGUUGAGGCACGAAAGUGUGGGGAGCAAACAGGAUUAGAUACCCUGGUAAAC
rnacentral:rRNA from 1 species